GAAAGAAUGAGACGGAGACAAAGAAAGAAAGAGAAAAAGAACAAUAAUUAAUUUCCUUGUGUACUUUAUUGGGUUUCAUGUGGCUGUAUUUAUAGCCAAGACAGCACAUGGGAGUACAACAUGCAACAACUAAAAUAGAGAAAAGUGCAGUAAACAAUGUAGUAGCUAAAAAAUAAGAACAAAUAGCAGUAGACUAGAUAAACAGGAACUACUUUUGCUAAAGAAUAGGAACUGCAUCUGGACUUCUUCAACAGGUGUGUGCUUACUAUGCAGCUUCUAGGUGAGGGUAAGAUAGAGUACGUAACAGAUGGAAAUCAGAUUGUCAUUAGUAAUUUUCUAUAUGUCUAUUGUUAGACAAUUUCCUCUGUUAUAUAGAGAAAAAGUUACAUGAUAUACAUGACAUCUUAUUC
rnacentral:lncRNA from 1 species